UACAGAGGGGGCAAGCGUUGUUCGGAAUUACUGGGCGUAAAGGGCGCGUAGGCGGCCUUCUAAGUCGAACGUGAAAUCCCCGGGCUCAACCCGGGAACUGCGUCCGAUACUGGAAGGCUUGAAUCCGGGAGAGGGAUGUGGAAUUCCAGGUGUAGCGGUGAAAUGCGUAGAUAUCUGGAGGAACACCGGUGGCGAAGGCGGCAUCCUGGACCGACAUUGACGCUGAUGCGCGAAAGCCAGGGGAGCAAACGGG
rnacentral:rRNA from 1 species